rnacentral:rRNA from 1 species
UACGUAGGGGGCAAGCGUUGUCCGGAAUCAUUGGGCGUAAAGAGCGUGUAGGCGGCCCGAUAAGUCCGCCGUGAAAGUCCAGGGCUCAACCCUGGAAUGCCGGUGGAAACUGUCGGGCUGGAGUCCGGAAGAGGCGAGUGGAAUUCCCGGUGUAGUGGUGGAAUGCGUAGAUAUCGGGAGGAACACCAGUGGCGAAGGCGGUUACCUGGAGCUUUGCUGACGCUGAUGCGCGAAAGCGUGGGGAGCGAUCCGG